GUUGCUUCUGCUGCAGGCACUUCUAUCUGGUCAUAAAUUUUUGAGAUGGUAGUUAGGUUCAAAUAACUAGUGCAAAGCUGCCCGUCAUGCUUUUGAAAAAAAAGGUUCAGGUUCAAGGCGUGGGAGCAUCCGCUUCAUGCAAAAGUGUGCAAAGAUUACAUAAGAUUGUCUUCCUUUGGCAGGACAAUAACUGCUUUCUGUAGCUUGAAAUAUAACCAC
rnacentral:misc_RNA from 1 species